AGACCACCAUGGAGAAGCAGGAGAGCGAUGCAGAAUCGGGAUACAAAACGGAAGGCCCAAAAAGAACAACAAAAGUACGAAAUAACAGUGGUUCAGAAUUUGUUCCAGAGCUACAGCGAACGGAAAGUGUGUUUCUCACAAAAGAGAUGCUGGGCAUUCCCAGAGAUUCUUUGACCAUCAGUGAAGACAGUGGCAGUGAGGACGAUUAUGUUCCAGACUCAGAGGAGCUGUGCAAUCAAAAUGAUGUGUGGAUUGUAAAGAUGGGAGAGCAAAUGUUUAACAAAAUUGGCCAUGAUCCUUCAAAACACGAAUACAUUAGGCAAAAGAUGAGGGAGGUUGGAAGACUGCUGUCAGCAGGUAGACAGGAAUCCCAAAUGCAGACAAUGGAGGAUUUCAUUCUUCCGUCAAACUUUCCCCAUGUUGUGAAUGCUGUGAAGCAUGUGGCAGGCUUUGACAGUAACUCUAAUUCUUUCAAAAUCCCUUCACUGGCUUUAAUAUUAGGCCACAGCUUGCAGAAGAUUGCGAGCAUUAUUGAAUGUCAUGCAAUGAUAUCGGGGAAAAAGAAAAUUGUUGAAAAUGCACAACACUUCAAACAAAUGUACCGAACAUGCUGGAAUGAAAAGGUUUCCUCAUCUGCACUGAAAACACUUUCAGAAGCGAAGUGGAACAACCCACAACUGCUGCCAUUCACCGAAGAUGUUAAAAAAAUGCACAUGUACAUGGAUCAAAAACAAAAAGAUGUAUACCAACAGCUAACAAACAAGGAAUCAUCAAGCAACUGGGUUGAUUUAGCUGAAGUAACCCUCG